UUUCUUGAACCUGCCAGGAGUCAUCCCAUGACCACAAAGGUUGUUUUCUAAGAGUGAGGCUUAACCAUUGCCUCCAAUAUGCCGAUUCCUGUGAUUUUCCCAAAUGAAGGAAACUCGAUUGCAUAAUUUACGGUAGUAGGGGCCCGAGUUUGCACUCUCCCCCA
rnacentral:snRNA from 1 species